rnacentral:rRNA from 1 species
CCUACGGGAGGCAGCAGUGGGGAAUAUUGCACAAUGGGGGAAACCCUGAUGCAGCGACGCCGCGUGAAGGAAGAAGUAUUUCGGUAUGUAAACUUCUAUCAGCAGGGAAGAAAAUGACGGUACCUGACUAAGAAGCCCCGGCUAACUACGUGCCAGCAGCCGCGGUAAUACGUAGGGGGCAAGCGUUAUCCGGAUUUACGGGGUGUAAAGGGAGCGUAGGCGGGGCUGCAAGUCAGAAGUGAAAGCCCGGGGCUCAACUCCGGGACUGCUUUUGAAACUGUGUUGCUAGAUUGCAGGAGAGGUAAGUGGAAGUCCUAGUGUAGCGGUGAAAUGCGUAGAUAUUAGGAGGAACACCAGUGGCGAAGGCGGCUUGCUGGACUGUAAAUGACGCUGAGGCUCGAAAGCGUGGGGAGCAAACAGGAUUAGAUACCCGUGUAGUC